CGGCCUACGUGUUGAUGAACAGCAGUCAGGGAGAUUUAGAUCGUUAGUCUGACACAUGAACAACUCAUUAUCCCAGCGAAGCAGAAAAUGAUUCAGCGCAGGAUGUGCGUGUGUCAUUCAGCCUGAUUGGAGAGACAUGCAGCAUCGUGAGGAGAAGUAGCUUCUUGCAAAUCCUCCUAGACUACAACCACCGGAAGCCAUGACUGAUGAAAGGCUGCAUAGGCCUACAUGCAAGCGUGCAUGGAGGCUCUCUCCUCGCUGUGGCAUGUUAGGGAGUGCCUCAUCCAAUCACUCAUCUAUCAAGACGACCUUCACCACC
ensembl:lncRNA